CGCUAGUAAUCGCGCAUCAGCCACGGCGCGGUGAAUACGUUCCCGGGCCUUGUACACACCGCCCGUCAAGCCAUGGGAGCCGGGGGUACCUGAAGUGCGUAACCGCAAGGAGCGCCCUAGGGUAAAACUGGUGACUGGGGCUAAGUCGUAACAAGGUAAC
rnacentral:rRNA from 1 species